rnacentral:lncRNA from 1 species
CACCACUCAUUGGCUUUUUUAGCUUUUUUGCUCAUGGUCACCUUAUUGUCCCUGAAGACUCCAAGGUUUUACAUUUGUCCUUGUUGAAAUUCAUUGUGUUAGCUUUAGCUGAGCUCGCUAAUCUCUUAAGGUCAUUUUGAAUUAUGAUCCUGUCCUCUUGAGUAUUAACUAUCUCUCGAAAUUUGGUGACAUCUGCAACUUUGAUAAGGAGCCAUUUUGAAGUUUAUUUGCAAAAAGUCAUGAGGGGAAAUCAUUUACGAACCAAGGAAACCUCUAAGAAAAACGAUUGUCAUUGCAAUUAAUUAAUUGCUUAGUUAAAUCUUCACAUUUCCCCCAGCCUUGGGACUCACGGCAUCUGAAUAAAUCAGACUCAGAGCGGCUUACAGCAAAACAAUAACAUAAUUGGGGCUGCUGUAGGUUUGCAGGGUUUUUAGCCUCCUUGGUUAAAGAGUGCUGCUGUCUUGUCAAAUUACAAAUCUUGGGAUGCUAUAGCAUUGGGUCGUGGAAGUUCAAAUGGUGUCAAACUGCAUUAAUUCUACAGUGUAGAUGCACCCUGAGAUUGAGGACCAAAUAAUAGAGAAAUGCCAGGCUCAUUGGCAUGUCUUCCCAAGACCAGAGGCAUGAGGAGUUCUGUAUUUUUUUUUGUGAAAAGCUGCAUUAAAAGGAAAUUAACUUGCUGGUUUACUCUCCAUGCUCUGUCCUAUCCGCUGCAUCACAGUGUUAUGUUCCCCUUCCCACGAGGACUCCAAGAUUUUUUUCACAUGUCCUGCUGAGCCAGGCACCACUCAUUGGCUUUUUUAGCUUUUUUGCUCAUGGUCACCUUAUUGUCCCUGAAGACUCCAAGGUUUUACAUUUGUCCUUGUUGAAAUUCAUUGUGUUAGCUUUAGCUGAGCUCGCUAAUCUCUUAAGGUCAUUUUGAAUUAUGAUCCUGUCCUCUUGAGUAUUAACUAUCUCUCGAAAUUUGGUGACAUCUGCAACUUUGAUAAGGAGCCAUUUUGAAGUUUAUUUGCAAAAAGUCAUGAGGGGAAAUCAUUUACGAACCAAGGAAACCUCUAAGAAAAACUAUUGUCAUUGCAAUUAAUUAAUUGCUUAGUUAAAUCUUCACAUUUCCCCCAGCCUUGGGACUCACGGCAUCUGAAUAAAUCAGACUCAGAGCGGCUUACAGCAAAACAAUAACAUAAUUGGGGCUGCUGUAGGUUUGCAGGGUUUUUAGCCUCCUUGGUUAAAGAGUGCUGCUGUCUUGUCAAAUUACAAAUCUUGGGAUGCUAUAUCAUUGGGUCGUGGAAGUUCAAAUGGUGUCAAACUGCAUUAAUUCUACAGUGUAGAUGCACCCUGAGAUU